rnacentral:rRNA from 1 species
GUGGGGAAUAUUGGACAAUGGGCGAAAGCCUGAUCCAGCCAUGCCGCGUGUGUGAAGAAGGUCUUCGGAUUGUAAAGCACUUUAAGUUGGGAGGAAGGGCAGUAAGUUAAUACCUUGCUGUUUUGACGUUACCGACAGAAUAAGCACCGGCUAACUUCGUGCCAGCAGCCGCGGUAAUACGAAGGGUGCAAGCGUUAAUCGGAAUUACUGGGCGUAAAGCGCGCGUAGGUGGUUUUGUAAGUUGGAGGUGAAAUCCCCGGGCUCAACCUGGGAACUGCCUCCAAAACUGCAUGACUAGAGUACGGUAGAGGGUAGUGGAAUUUCCUGUGUAGCGGUGAAAUGCGUAGAUAUAGGAAAGAACACCAGUGGCGAAGGCGACUACCUGGACUGAUACUGACACUGAGGUGCGAAAGCGUGGGGAGCAAACAGGAUUAGAAACCCGGGUAGUCC